ACCCAGAUGACGAAUCCCAGACAGGACGAAACGCUGCAUCUUGGAU
rfam:Schistosoma curassoni strain Dakar, Senegal genome assembly, scaffold: SCTD_scaffold0004430